rnacentral:rRNA from 1 species
UUAAGCAUAUCAAUAAGCGGAGGAAAAGAAACCAACAGGGAUUGCCCCAGUAACGGCGAGUGAAGCGGCAACAGCUCAAAUUUGAAAUCUGGCUUCGGCCCGAGUUGUAAUUUGCAGAGGAAGCUUUAGGCGCGGCACCAUCUGAGUCCCCUGGAACGGGGCGCCAUAGAGGGUGAGAGCCCCGUAUAGAUGGACGCUAAGCCUGUGUAAAGCUCCUUCGACGAGUCGAGUAGUUUGGGAAUGCUGCUCAAAAUGGGAGGUAAAUUUCUUCUAAAGCUAAAUAUUGGCCAGAGACCGAUAGCGCACAAGUAGAGUGAUCGAAAGAUGAAAAGCACUUUGAAAAGAGGGUUAAAUAGCACGUGAAAUUGUUGAAAGGGAAGCGCUUGUGACCAGACUUGCGCCUGGCUGAUCAUCCGGUGUUCUCACCGGUGCACUCUGCCAGGCUCAGGCCAGCAUCGGUUCUCGCGGGGGGAUAAAGGCCCUGGGAACGUAGCUCCUCCGGGAGUGUUAUAGCCCAGGGUGCAAUGCCCUCGCGGGGACCGAGGUUCGCGCAUCUGCAAGGAUGCUGGCGUAAUGGUCAUCAGCGACCCGUCUUGAAACACGGACCAAGGAGUCAAGGUUUUGCGCGAGUGUUUGGGUGUCAAACCCGCACGCGUAAUGAAAGUGAACGUAGGUGAGAGCUUCGGCGCAUCAUCGACCGAUCCUGAUGUUUUCGGAUGGAUUUGAGUAGGAGCGUUAAGCCUUGGACCCGAAAGAUGGUGAACUAUGCUUGGAUAGGGUGAAGCCAGAGGAAACUCUGGUGGAGGCUCGCAGCGGUUCUGACGUGCAAAUCGAUCGUCAAAUCUGAGCAUGGGGGCGAAAGACUAAUCGAACCAUCUAGUAGCUGGUUACCGCCGAAGUUCCCCUC